AUGAGAAUCAUCGGAUGGAACUGUCGUGGGAUGCUCUCUCCCACGGCGGUUCGCGAGCUCUUGGAUCUACAGGAGCGUACCAAAGCAGAGCUAAUUUUCCUUUCAGAAUCUCACUUAAAUAAAUGUAAAGCCGAUGAGCUUCGUCGAGUUUUAAAUUUCGAUUCAAUGUUUGUAGUUGAGAGCGAUGGCCGGGCGGGUGGUCUUGUUUUGUUU
rnacentral:rRNA from 1 species